UUGCUUAUAUGCGCGAAGCUGCUAUUCCCAUUUCCCACUCUUUCUUCCCUCACUCAUCAUUUUCACUUUCAUUUGCUUCGGAAUUCGAGAAUGAGAGAAGAGGUUAUCAGCUACGGAGGCACCGUUGAUCCAACACCUGCUGCAAGUUCUGCUGGGGCAUCAUCCCCAGCUGUUCCAAUGAAUGUUGGCAGCAUAGAUGGGUCAAGUCAUGGACAAGUCUCUAAAGCGGCUUCUCUCUCGUGUGUUGGUUCACAACCACCAUGGACUUCAUUGAGCACAAGUGCUGGCGGUUCUGCUUUUUGAUUCUUCAAGAUCUUCAUGUAGACCUUGGGAAAGAGGAGAUUUAUUAAGACGUUUGGCUACAUUUAUUCCUUCAAAUUGGCUUGGGAAGCCUCAGAGAACUGGAUGAAUCUCUAAGACCGGGUGUCGUUGCUUUAAUAGAUGCUUGCUCACGUGAUGAUAUUCAAUAUCUUCAUACUGUAUUUGGGGAAGGACCUUGCAGAAAUAUCCUGUUAACUCUUGUGGGUGAUCGCAAACUUACCGAAUUUAAAGGAAAAGUUUGAUCUUGAAAUUCUGUUGGUGGUAAUUUUUUGUGCAAUCAUUUUAUUUCCCCGCAGAACUUUCAACAGAGAUUGAUAAUGAGGUGUCGACUAAUAUUCAUAGAAAGCAAUUACUACUCCCAUGGAAAACUUUGUUUAUGCAAAUUCUAUACGUUAUGAAAUCAGAUCUUCAGCAGCUUCCAUUCUUAGUGGAACUUCGUUUUUAGAUGUCUACUUCAUAUUUAAGAACUUGUAUCUUUGUGAUGGGUACCUUAAUGGUAGUGAGAUGUAUUCAUUUUUUAGGAACUGGUAAAUACCAUUUGCAUUCAGUUUGUAGUACAGUACAACAUUAGCAAUAUUCAGAUGAAAGCAAAAACUAUCAUAUACCUACUUCUUCAAUGAGCAGAGAUAAAUGCAAAGGCUCUAGUGUUUGUUCUUUCGUU